rnacentral:rRNA from 1 species
AACGAACGCUGGCGGCAUGCCUAACACAUGCAAGUCGAACGAGACCUUCGGGUCUAGUGGCGCACGGGUGCGUAACGCGUGGGAACCUGCCCUUAGGUUCGGAAUAACUCCCCGAAAGGGGUGCUAAUACCGGAUAAUGUCUGCGGACCAAAGAUUUAUCGCCUUUGGAUGGGCCCGCGUUGGAUUAGCUAGUUGGUAGGGUAAAAGCCUACCAAGGCGACGAUCCAUAGCUGGUCUGAGGGGAUGAUCAGCCACACUGGGACUGAGACACGGCCCAGACUCCUACGGGAGGCAGCAGUGGGGAAUAUUGGACACUGGGCGAAAGCCUGAUCCAGCAAUGCCGCGUGAGUGAUGAAGGCCUUAGGGUUGUAAAGCUCUUUUACCCGGGAUGAUAAUGACAGUACCGGGAGAAUAAGCUCCGGCUAACUCCGUG